rnacentral:lncRNA from 1 species
CUUCUGCUGUUUCGGUUCAUAGGCCUGGGGACGAUGACCAAGUGCUGGCUUCCUGGCCCACACCACCCACCGCAAAGCCUCCCAGAACCAGCGAAGGCCCCCAGCACCCCUUGAAGGAUUUGGCUGAGGUCAGAUCACCUCUUGAGAGUCAAAGAGCCCUGGAUUUGAUUAAGAAUUCUUAUAUUGGAGAAUAAAGAAACUUCUGGACUCAUGGAGACAUGUGGGUGGAAACAAAGACCCACCCUAAGAAGCAGCCACACGUGGACCUGAGCGAGCAGGAGGGGCAUGGCUGGGCCACCUGCAGCCAGAGACGACUCCUUCUCUCAGACUCGGACCUUCCUCCUGUGGAAAACGUGGCCUCUGCUGCUUCCUGCUCCUGACACUCUUCCUGGCCCCAGCCCAGCUCCCAGGCUUUGUCCUACACCCUUCCCUGCCUGCCUCCACCUCCCUACCCAUCGUGCCUUUGGACCCAGCGAGUCUUCUUGCUUGCCGGCCAGAUGCAGAGUAAAUAGUUAACUACACUUGAGUCAAAUGAGAUCUUGGGUUUUGUUCCUGCUCCUUCUAAAGCGGCCGCCAUUUGUACAUUGUGAGCAGCUCAGGAAUGGUAUUUGGACCUGCCCCUGCGCACCCAGGUUCCAGAGUGACCAAGAGUCAGUGUGGAAUUCCUUCCGGCUAUCAGUCAUCAGGGCCAUUGGAGAAGGCUCAGGCGGGCAAGUUGGAUGGUGAGGGCUGGUAUUCUCCACAUCCAGCUCUCUAGGUGGCUUCCAGAAGGACAAAAAUGAUUGGUUCAUUCCAUCUUCUGACGGAUCCAGGCAGCUGUGAGGACCCUCUUCUCAGGUGGCAGCUGGGCUCCAGGCAGGAUCUUGGUGCUUCACAACAUACAAGCUGGCUACUGGGGUUGGUAGUGUUUAUCAAGGACCGUCCUCUCCCAGUGUCUUCUGGUGACACUACCUGAUAGUGACUUGAGUCUUCUCUGUCCCUUUUACUCUGCAGCCACCAUGAUCAUGGUUGAAAACACUAAGUCCUGUCACAGUCAACCUCAUCCAACAUGCAGUCAAAGAUGAGUGUACUUUCUAAUUUCCAAAGUGAACAGACAGUUUGUUUUCAUAAAAACAAUUGAAGUUUCCCUGUGUGGUGUGUGGUGCGUUAUGGUGGGUCAGGACUUGGGGUCAUUGUUGGCAUCUCCAAGUCACCACAAAAUGAUGGAGGAGAGCCUCCCAAAGAUGUUCAGUGCUACUGAAAUUGGAAGAGGAUGUAUGGGAGUCCCCUUCCUUCCCUGGCACUUGCGGGCAGCCAUCAUACUGUUCAGAUUUGUUCAGGUUUCAGAAACAGAGGCCCCCUGGUAUCACCUCCGUGAACGAGGUGUAUUUUAAAGUCACGGGGGAAGCGAGGCAGAGGAGGGACAAUUCCAGCAGCUACCCAGCUAGGCCUUGUCAAGAAUCCUGAAGUCAUUGAGCACACCCAGUAGCUAUGGCCUGUUUCCAGGGACAGCAAGUGUCUCAUCUGGUCGUCUUGAUCCUUUAUUCUGAUUCCCUGCUCCUGACUCUGGAAUUCUGCAGUGGGGAUGAACAGGGGGGACCUACUGUCCUUGUUUGCAUAAGCCUAAGGUGUUUCUCAUAACAGAGGACUUUCAGGGCUAAACCUGGGACAUUCUUGGGCAAAUUGGAAUAAUUGGUCGCCCAGCUAGGUGACCCGGUGACCUUGCCUCUACUACUUUUCCUACUGUAAUUGAUGGAUGCUUCUGAUAGGCUUGGCCAGAUACCAUUCAGCGCUCUGCAUCUGGUCACUUCAUUGGCCACUACAGUCUAUAGAUAGAUGCUAUUGGGUCAGGCACCAUUCCUGACCCAGUUAGUUCUCUCCUGAAUGGAAGGGUUGCAUGGUAUUGAAUAAAAUCCUGAGUAGGAGGAGCCAGAUGGACAGUGUGCAUGGCGGGGAUUCAGGGUCCCAGGGAUUUCUCUCUAAUGCAAGCAUACUAACACAGGUAGAACUAAUCUUUCCCAUUAAAAACAAAACCGUUCAUUAAGAAACAAAAAUAUAUAUAUAUAUAAAUAUAUAACAUAGCCUUUGGGAACAGUGGAAAAUGGUGACGUGUGUGUUCAUGUGCUACGCAGGAUAAAAAUUCUACAUCUUUGCUAGACAGAAACAAAGAACUAAAACCUUUGGGAUGGUUUUGUCUGGAGAGCAAAAGAGUUGGCGAUGAGUUGACUUCCUGAAAUUCCUUUGAACUCUAGAAUUAUUUAAAAUGUCAAGGGCGUGUAAAUUGGAGCUAAGUGUGUACUUUCUUACUGAAGUCUCCUGGAUAACCUUUGCGUUCCACUCAGAUAGUGCUGAGGGGGACCUCCCAGCUCACUCUUCCCUAUGCAGACACUGACUUUAUCUGGGAUAAGGGAGCGGAACUUGGAGGUGGUGGCGGGGGAGCGCAGGAGGGCAGAGUUGGGCCUGCCCAAGUUUUUUGGUGUUCAUGACAAGUAAGAACAGUCAGAGGCAAAUUAUAGGUUCUUCUGCAGGUUAGAAAAGCCAGGUUUUCAGACUUGCAUGACACCCUGAAGUUGUUGCUGCUUGUCGAGGGAUUCGCCUUCCAUCUUUUCUGCUGAAAGACAGGCAUGAGCAUCCGCCAUGUUGGAACAUGGGCCCUCAGCUGAUCUUGCACCCUGUGGCCACAGGGAGGACAGAGGUGAGGGUGCAGGCUCCAGAGCCUGUUCUCAUCACUCCUGAGAUUCCCCGAGUUUACCUCUGAACUGACCUAUCUUCACAGAUGGGGGAGGGAUGCUGGCCCAGCUGCUUGGGUGCCAUUUUUCUUUUUAAAAAAUGAACAUUUCAGCUGUUCCCUUCAUGUGUGUCCUGCAUUCAUUCUUUGGUUCCAGAAUAAUCGUGCUGUUGGGCCAAAGGCAACAACUCCCCCGACCCCAUACACACCCCCGCUCUUCUUAUCUUCUCAUCCACAUAGAAUCCCAGGGGCCAAAAUGGUCUCCAACCUCGCUCUUCUCUGGAUCUACCUCUGACUCAUGCAGGAAUCCCCUUUCAAACAUCUGGUGAGGGCUCGUCCAGCCCUCGGGGAGGCAACCUUUUUGGCAGAGUGGGAGAUGUGAGGGAAGGUUGAAUAUUGUUCUCCUACUUGAGGGGAAGCAAGAGAAGUUUGAAGAGCAAUUCAUGGCCUGCCUGCCAAGAGGCCACGAAUAUCAAUUUCUUACUGAGAUAGAAGCUAAAUGCAUUUUGCCCUCUUCACCCACAUCUCUCCAUCUCUUAUUUCUGGAUCCAGGCACUAUAUCUUAUGCUGGUGAAAAGCGCUGGCUUGGGAGACGGGGGAACCCGAGUUCUGUCUCAGAGUCCCUCAUCUUAGUUCCAACCAUGUAAAGGAGGGUGUUGAGCAUGUGGUCCUGGGACUCCCUUAGAGCUAUGUUCAAUGCCCUCGGCUUUGGCUAGCUGCAAGGUCACAUGCCAGUAAUCAGGCCCUUUCUCUGGGCUGGUCUUGACAGUCCGCUACAGUUCCUUCCUGGGUCACAUUCCCAUCCCUGCCUGACCCAGCAGGGGUCUGACCAUUCCCUGACAAGUGGCACGUUGUCCCUUUGCCUUGGGGCUGCACGAGUCAAAACCAGAGCUGCCCCAAGGAAGUCCAUUACCAAAGAAUACUUCAAAGCUGUUUGCACAUGCUGUCAGUCGCACUGAGCACAAGUUUGUCGAGGGAGAAGGCAAACAGACACACAGCCGAUGACAGGAUGGGUGGAAGGGAGACUAUUUACCCCCCGGGGGACAGGGAGGCAAGGAAAAAACCUGCCUGCUGUUUUGACCAAUAAAUAAGAACUGGGAGCUCUGCGUGGCUAAAACUGUAGGGGAUUUAUUAGUUUGCUUAGUGAAAGGCAAAUAUUAAGUCGUAGCUGACCCGUCCUGGGACCUGCCUUUUGGCUUUUGUAUGCCGUCAGGCGCCGAUCACUGGGUACUCGAGGUUAUCAAGUUCUGUUGAAGGUGUGUGUGUGUGUGUGUGUGUGUGUGUAAUUGUUUUCCGUCUCCUUCUCCUCUUCCUCCUUCACCUGCCCCUUCCCACUGACAUCCCCCUUUUUCUGGUAACUCAGGUUUGGGGCUUGGAGGGGGCAGAAGCCAUGUUCUGCUCAUAAAACUGCUGCUCCCCAGGGCUCCUGCUGGCCUGGAACUACUGGUGCUGGUGAUGUGGCAGCUUGGGAAUGAGCCCACGGGUGGUCCUUGCUGGAACCCCACCAUCCUCAACAUCAGGUCCCAGGCUGGCAGGCAAAGUCGUUCUCUCUUUAACCUGAGAAUGAGCAGAAUUACAAGCAUCAGAAAAGAACAGGUCACAGCUGUUUCUGAGUUGUGAUCGCUCCAUCCUGGGUGACAGGGCCUACCUACCAGGACAGAUGGUUUUAGCCUCAUUUGCUGAAAGAUGAACUACUCAAGGAGGGGCCGACCCGACCUGAUGACUCACUCUCCAUGGAGAGUCCAUAUCGGAUCAGAGGGGCUGGACAGGCUGUCCAGUUUCCAAGCAUGAGCUGCGCCGGAGCUGGGUGCAAUCUCUUUACACUUUGCUUCCUCCCCCGCAGUGCAAACCAGUGUAUUCUAAAACGCUUCAGUGCUGGGGUGCUCAGGACUCACAAGGGGUACAGGACAGCAGGGCACGCUGCUCCAUGACAGACCCUCAGGGCCCUUUGUCAAGUCCACCCCUGGCUCAGGACGCUGCCAUUCUGUACCUAUUAGUCAUAUGGCCAGGAGUUGGGAAUGUUCUGGAAUUGCUUCAUUAAGAAAGUUCCUCUCGCAUUCCGGUAAUGAGUUUUUAUUGAACUCUGUGUGUGAGUCAGCUUUCCAUCACCAUAACAAAUGCCUGAGAUAACCAACUUACAAAGAAAGAGAAAAGGUUUAUUUUGGCUCACAGUUCUGGAGAUUGCAGCCCAUGAUCUGGCUUAGGCCUGUGGUGGGGGCGGGAGUAUAUAGCAGAGCAGAACUACCCACCUCAUGGCUGGAAAGUGAAAGACAACAUGGGACCACAGACCCCUUCCUGAGGCACACCCCCAAAGGCCUGAUGAUCUCCCACUAGGCCCCACCCACCUCUUAACAUUUCCACCACCUCCCACCAGCACUGGGUUGGAAACCAAGCUUUCAACUCACAGGCUUUUAGGGAACAUUUCGGAUCCAAAUGUUGGCAUUUUUCUUCCUUGACCACGGAACUUUAGUAUCUCAUUGUGCUUAUUUGGAACUUGUUUUGGGUGUCCCCUUCACCCCCAGCAUGCUCACUCUUUCUCUUUUAAGAACUGGGUCAUUCCUUACUUAUUGAAUUCAUCCCUGAAAUGCCCAAUAAUGUUCAAGUCCCAGGGCAGGCACUCUGUGGUCAUCUCAUGCAGUCCCUCACUUAAUCCUCAGAAGACGGAGACUUCAAGGAACCAUCCAUUGCCUCCACCAAAUCUUUCAUGUAAGUGUUGGAAUUCAAACCCAGGGUUGUCAAGGUCUCAAGUUCAGAGCUAGUAAAUUUGCAGUGUGAUGGCUUUAAAUGAUGCAUGUACAAGAAAGAUGUUGAAUCGACUUUUCCUAUUGACAGUCUGUUGCUGUGUGUACCUCCAAAUUUGCCUGGUUUUUGUUUGCCCAGUACUAAUCAAUAAAGUGUUAUCUGAA